rnacentral:SRP_RNA from 1 species
GCCGGGCGUGGUGGCGUGUGUCUGUAGUCCCAGCUACUCCAGAGGCUGAGAUGGGAAGAUCACUUGAGCCCAGGAGUUCUGAGCUGUAGUGCACUAUGCUGAUCGGGUGUCCGCACUAAGUUUGGCAUCAAUAUGGUGACCUCCUGGGAGCAGGGGACCACAGGUUGCCUAAGGAGGGGUGCACUGGCCCAGGUCAGAAACGGAGCAGAUCAAAACUGCCAUGCUGAUCAGUGGUGGGAUCAUGCCUGUGAAUCACCACUGCACUCCAGCCUGGGCAACAUCGCAAGACCCUGUCUCU